CCGGUGCAGAAUUGAAAAGAAAGUUGUUCAACGUUGGUGGAGGAAUGUGAAGAAGCGCCGAGUGUCAGUCGGUCAUGUGUUUUUUCGUGGAAGAGGCCUGGACGACAGGGGGAGGUAUCCGCUCUGCUAGAGGAAGCUGAGGCGCACUGGCACAUCAACAGGCUCAAAAGGUGUUGAGUGGCCUUUUUAUUGGCAGCUACACUCAUUUUUGGGGACGCUUCCUGUCAACGACACUAACCUUGUGGAAGAGAGCGUGGAGGUGCCAGAAGUUAAUGAAGCGCCUGAUGACGCUGAAGUCGUCGCUUCAUGGGAAGCAGAACAAGAACAUUUCACGAAAGGAAGUGUGGAAGGCAGCCCUGCGCCACCAAAUGAAAACUGUGAAGACGAGAACACUGCAACCCCUGCCGCCAGCUGCCCACCUGGCAGCAGAAAGCGAAAGCGGCCGUCAUCGCUUUUGCAGGAUGUGCUGGCGCUGCACAGUUGCGCAGAAGAGAGAGCCAAGAAAAAUGCUCAGCAAUCCAUUGAGCUGCGCAAAGAGCUUGUGCAGCUCCAAAAGGAAGCAAAUGAGAUAAACAAAAACACCCUUGAGGUGAUAAAAAAC